UUUUUGGAGAGUUUGAUCUUGGCUCAGGACGAACGCUGGCGGCGUGCCUAAUACAUGCAAGUCGAGCGCUGGAAACUAAUUUCAUCCCUUCGGGAUGAAAUUAGUUGAAAGAGCGGCGGACGGGUGAGUAACACGUGGGCAACCUACCUAUAAGACUGGGAUAACUCGCGGAAACGUGAGCUAAUACCGGAUAAUACUUUUUAUUGCAUAAUAAGAAGUUUGAAAGGCGGCGU
rnacentral:rRNA from 1 species